rnacentral:lncRNA from 1 species
CAUUGCGUGCUCAUCAUAUACCAAGGUGCAUUGACAUGUCUUCUCUCGUUUGAUCCUUCCAGAAAAGACUAUUCUUGUCCACGCUCUGCCAACAAGAACAUGGAAGUCCAAAGACUUUAAGUAGUAACUUCACAAGAAGAAGGAUCUGCUUUAUAAAUACUGGCAGUGACUCAAGGACAUGUUUGCCCUGCACAAUUCCUGAGGCCCGACCGCGAGGCUGUGGCCCUG